rnacentral:rRNA from 1 species
CUUGGUCAUUUAGAGGAAGUAAAAGUCGUAACAAGGUUUCCGUAGGUGAACCUGCGGAAGGAUCAUUACCUAGAGUUGUAGGCUUUGCCUGCUAUCUCUUACCCAUGUCUUUUGAGUACCUUACGUUUCCUCGGUGGGUUCGCCCGCCGGCUGGACAAAACUUAAACCCUUUGUAGUUGCAAUCAGCGUCUGAAAAAACUUAAUAGUUACAACUUUCAACAACGGAUCUCUUGGUUCUGGCAUCGAUGAAGAACGCAGCGAAAUGCGAUAAGUAGUGUGAAUUGCAGAAUUCAGUGAAUCAUCGAAUCUUUGAACGCACAUUGCGCCCCCUGGUAUUCCGGGGGGCAUGCCUGUUCGAGCGUCAUUUCACCACUCAAGCCUCGCUUGGUAUUGGGCAACGCGGUCCGCCGCGUGCCUCAAAUCGACCGGCUGGGUCUUCUGUCCCCUAAGCGUUGUGGAAACUAUUCGCUAAAGGGUGUUCGGGAGGCUACGCCGUAAAACAACCCCAUUUCUAAGGUUGACCUCGGAUCAGGUAGGGAUACCCGCUGAACUUAAGCAUAUCAAUAAGCGGAGGA